GGUGGAGCAGUCUGGUAGCUCGUUGGGCUCAUAACCCGAAGGUCGGUGGUUCAAAUCCAUUCUCCG
rnacentral:ncRNA from 14 species